CACUUUCAGUCGUGAGGAAGGUAGUGUAGUUAUAGCUGCAUUAUUUGACGUUAGCGACAGAAGAAGCACCGGCUAACUCCGUGCCAGCAGCCGCGGUAAUACGGAGGGUGCGAGCGUUAAUCGGAAUUACUGGGCGUAAAGCGCAUGCAGGUGGUUUGUUUAAGUCAGAUGUGAAAGCCCGGGGCUCAACCUCGGAAUAGCAUUUGAAACUGGCAGACUAGAGUACUGUAGAGGGGGGGUAGGAAUUUCAGGUGUAGCGGUGAAAUGCGUAGAGAUCUGAAGGAAUACCGGUGGCGAAGGCGGCCCCCCUGGACAGAUACUGACACUCAGAUGCGAAAGCGUGGGGAGCAAACAGGAUUAGAUACCCCUGGUAG
rnacentral:rRNA from 1 species